UACCAGCACCCCGAGUGGUCGGGACGAUUAUUGGGCCUAAAGCAUCCGUAGCCGGUUCUACAAGUCUUCCGUUAAAUCCACCUGCUUAACAGAUGGGCUGCGGAGGAUACUAUAGAGCUAGGAGGCAGGAGAGGCAAGCGGUACUCAGUGGGUAGGGGUAAAAUCCGUUGAUCCAUUGAAGACCACCGGUGGCGAAGGCGGCCUGCUGGGCAGUAGCUGACACUGAGGCGCGACAGCGUGGGGAGCAAACAGG
rnacentral:rRNA from 1 species